AGAGUUUGAUCAUGGCCAAGUCGUAACAAGGUAGAGUUUGAUCAUGGCUCAGGACGAACGCUGGCGGCGUGCCUAAUACAUGCAAGUAGAACGCUGAGGACUGGUGCUUGCACUGGUCUAAGGAGUUGCGAACGGGUGAGUAACGCGUAGGUAACCUACCUCAUAGCGGGGGAUAACUAUUGGAAACGAUAGCUAAUACCGCAUGACAAUAGGGUACACAUGUACCCUAUUUAAAAGGGGCAAUUGCUUCACUAUGAGAUGGACCUGCGUUGUAUUAGCUAGUUGGUAAGGUAACGGCUUACCAAGGCGACGAUACAUAGCCGACCUGAGAGGGUGAUCGGCCACACUGGGACUGAGACACGGCCCAGACUCCUACGGGAGGCAGCAGUAGGGAAUCUUCGGCAAUGGGGGGAACCCUGACCGAGCAACGCCGCGUGAGUGAAGAAGGUUUUCGGAUCGUAAAGCUCUGUUGUUAGAGAAGAACGGUAAUGGGAGUGGAAAAUCCAUUACGUGACGGUAACUAACCAGAAAGGGACGGCUAACUACGUGCCAGCAGCCGCGGUAAUACGUAGGUCCCGAGCGUUGUCCGGAUUUAUUGGGCGUAAAGCGAGCGCAGGCGGUUUGAUAAGUCUGAAGUUAAAGGCUGUGGCUUAACCAUAGUUCGCUUUGGAAACUGUCAAACUUGAGUGCAGAAGGGGAGAGUGGAAUUCCAUGUGUAGCGGUGAAAUGCGUAGAUAUAUGGAGGAACACCGGUGGCGAAAGCGGCUCUCUGGUC
rnacentral:rRNA from 1 species